GGUGAACGCUGGCGGCGUGCUUAAGACAUGCAAGUCGAACGGCAGUCUUCGGACUGUAGUGGCGCACGGGUGAGUAACGCGUAACUGACCUACCCCAAAGUCGCGGAUAACGAUUCGAAAGAAUCGCUAAUACGUGAUGUGCUGUCAGAUUGUGUUCUGCCAGUAAAGAUUGAUUGCUUUGGGAUGGGGUUGCGUUCCAUCAGCUAGUUGGUGGGGUAAAGGCCCACCAAGGCGACGACGGAUAGCCGGCCUGAGAGGGUGGCCGGCCACAGGGGCACUGAGACACAGGUCCCACUCAUACGGGAGGCAGCAGUUAGGAAUCUUCCACAAUGGGCGAAAGCCUGAUGGAGCGACGCCGCGUGAGGGAUGAAGGUCUUCGGAUCGUAAACCUCUGAAUCAGGGACGAAAGACACUUCGGUGGGAUGACGGUACCUGAGUAAUAGCACCGGCUAACUCCGUGCCAGCCGCCGCCGUAAAAC
rnacentral:rRNA from 1 species